AGGAAGACAUGGGCAAUCCUUUACUUUUACGGAAGACCGGAAACACGAUUAAGUAACCACUCGUGAUAAGAAAAGUCAAGACAAUUGAUAGAUGCAUUAAUAGACGGUCGAGUCCAUUCCUUGAAUCCUUGUGGACCAUUAUCCUACACUCACGACGUCAUUUGGCAAUCAUAGUUGAUGCAUCCUGUAAAUGCAAUGUAACAUUUUUACGAUUGUUUCAUACUUCUUUUUGCUGAUUCAAAUUUUACCUUUGCCCUACAUUUGUAAAUGUUCUUUUGCAUCCGACAACGAUACAGUUCUUCAUUUUUCUGGGUCAA